GUUUUUGUAGUUGAAAACAACGCUGGUUUUUCAAGCCGGAGGUCUUGGUUAAAACCCAGGUAGAAACC
rnacentral:tRNA from 1 species